AUAACUUCUUCCUUGCAAUGCUCAAGGUCCCAUCAAGUUUCUUCGCAUAGGCUUGCACAAAACAGCCAUUCUUUUGAGCAUUGUCAAAUAUAACACAACCUAGCAAACAAAUUUUCAAGUGAUGCAACAUUAAUUAACAUCAUUUUAUGAAUCAUCUCCUAUUAUAUGCAAAGAACUUCUUCAAUUUAUAUUUUGAGAAUCAGCAUCAAAUUCAUGACAUUUUAUGCAAAGGACACUUUUAGCUUCUCACUUCUUUAGCACCUCAUAGUUCUAUUAUGUAAAGUAAAACAUAAUUAGUUUGAGUCACAGAAUCCAUUAAGUGACAAAUAGUUUAACUUGUAUGAGGAAUCACUAUUUUUAGAGGUUUGGUAAAUUAUAGGUAGUAAAUUACUAAUAGAAAAUCAUUCAGUUCUAGAAAUGAACAAGAUUGAAUAUGAUAAAUGUAAAAGACAAGCCAAACUUGCUAUCCACACAGAAAGUAGUGCAAGCAUUAAACAUCUGUUUAUUGAUAUAUGGAGAAUUACAUUCUCUAGU
rnacentral:lncRNA from 1 species